CUGCACUACAUUACUCUGUGGGUGGUGUACAAAACAAAAGGCUGAGCACACAGCGCGGCGCUCGGAGUCGGAAGUGAUGUUGGUCGGUGUUCUGGCGCUCGCGCUCGCAGUGGCGGCUCAAUACGAGUACUAUGCGCCGAUAAAUCCACCAGAAUACAUUCAAAGAGAACUGCUAAAUUCUAAUAAACCCCUACCACACAGCAAAAUAAAGAAGUUCACCAAUGUCAGCUUUAGCGAUGUGUACAAAAAGAUACAAGCUAUCACCCAAGCUAUGACUGUACAUGCGAAGAAGCAUGGGUAUCAUGUCGAUUUCAAAUUACAGUUUUUAAAUAAUUA